rnacentral:tRNA from 1 species
AGAUGCAUGGGCCGCGAGUUCAACCCUCGCUAGGACUAAGUCCUAUAGCUCAGUGGUAGAGCAAUGUACUUAUGGG